rnacentral:rRNA from 1 species
GCCUACAAGCACAUAGAGCACGUCAAAGUGUGAUAUGGUACCUUUUGUAGAAUGGUCCGGCGAGCGUAUGUAUGCAGCAAGGUUAAGCGCUUAAGGCGCGGAGCCGAAGGGAAACCGAGUCUGAAUAGGGCGUGAAGUUGCAUGCAUAGGGCCCGAAACCGGGUGACCUAUCCAUGUCCAGGUUGAAGUGGGAGUAAAAUCCCAUGGAGGACCGAACCGACCUCCGUUGAAAAGGCGGCGGAUGAGGUGUGGAUAGCGGAGAAAUUCCAAUCGAACCCGGAGAUAGCUGGUUCUCCCCGAAAUAGCUUUAGGGCUAGCGUUGUAUUAGAUUACCGGAGGUAAAGCACUGAAUGGGCUAGGGGCCGAGAGGUUACUGAACCCUAUCAAACUCUGAAUGCCGGAUAAUUGAUGUACAGCAGUCAGACUACGUGAGAUAAGUCUCGUGGUCGAGAGGGAAAAAGCCCAGACCCACAGCUAAGGUCCCAAAUACACGUUAAGUGGAAAAGGAUGUGGAGUUGCACAGACAACCAGGAUGUUGGCUUAGAAGCAGCCACUCAUUAAAAGAGUGCGUAAUAGCUCACUGGUCGAGUGACUCUGCGCCGAAAAUUCAACGGGGCUAAACGUGUAACCGAAGCUUGGGAUUUCAUUCACUGAACAAUGCUUUUUGUCAGGCAGGAGGGAAAGAUUUGCUGCCGAAGGCAGCUAAAUUUCCAAAAGCAAACGAGAGAGAAAGUAUUGGUCAGUGAAUGAAAUGGUAGGGGAGCGUCGUAUACGGGGUGAAGUAUGAGCGAAAGCGCAUGUGGACUGUAUACGAGUGAGAAUGCCGGAAUGAGUAGCGAGAAAU